rnacentral:rRNA from 1 species
CCUACGGGUGGCAGCAGUGGGGAAUAUUGCACAAUGGGGGAAACCCUGAUGCAGCGACGCCGCGUGAGUGAAGAAGUAAUUCGUUAUGUAAAGCCCUAUUAGCAGGGAAGAAAAUGACGGUACCUGAGUAAGAAGCCCUGGCCAACUACGUGCCAGCAGCCGCGGCAAUACGUAGGGGGCAAGCGUUAUCCGGAUUUACUGGGUGUAAAGGGAGCGUAGACGGCAGUGCAAGUCUGGAGUGAAAGGCGGGGGUUCAACCCCCGUACUGCUCUGGAAACUGUACGGCUGGAGUGCAGGAGAGGUAAGUGGAAUUCCUGGUGUAGCGGUGAAAUGCGUAGAUAUUAGGAGGAACACCAGUGGCGAAGGCGGCUUACUGGACUGUAACUGACGUUGAGGCUCGAAAGCGUGGGGAGCAAACAGGAUUAGAUACCCGGGUAGUC